UCAUGGCUCAGGAUGAACGCUGGCGGCGUGCUUAACACAUGCAAGUCGAACGAUGACUUUUGUGCUUGCACAGAAUGAUUAGUGGCGAACGGGUGAGUAACACGUGAGUAACCUGCCCCUGACUCUGGGAUAAGCCUGGGAAACUGGGUCUAAUACCGGAUAUGCACCGUGGACCGCAUGGUUCUUGGUGGAAAGAUUUUUUGGUCAGGGAUGGACUCGCGGCCUAUCAGCUUGUUGGUGAGGUAAUGGCUCACCAAGGCGACGACGGGUAGCCGGCCUGAGAGGGUGACCGGCCACACUGGGACUGAGACACGGCCCAGACUCCUACGGGAGGCAGCAGUGGGGAAUAUUGCACAAUGGGCGAAAGCCUGAUGCAGCGACGCCGCGUGAGGGAUGACGGCCUUCGGGUUGUAAACCUCUUUCAGUAGGGAAGAAGCGAAAGUGACGGUACCUGCAGAAGAAGCGCCGGCUAACUACGUGCCAGCAGCCGCGGUAAUACGUAGGGCGCAAGCGUUAUCCGGAAUUAUUGGGCGUAAAGAGCUCGUAGGCGGUUUGUCGCGUCUAUCGUGAAAGUCCGAGGCUCAACCUCGGAUCUGCGGUGGGUACGGGCAGACUAGAGUGAUGUAGGGGAGACUGGAAUUCCUGGUGUAGCGGUGAAAUGCGCAGAUAUCAGGAGGAACACCGAUGGCGAAGGCAGGUCUCUGGGCAUUAACUGACGCUGAGGAGCGAAAGCAUGGGGAGCGAACAGGAUUAGAUACCCUGGUAGUCCAUGCCGUAAACGUUGGGCACUAGGUGUGGGGGACAUU
rnacentral:rRNA from 1 species